rnacentral:rRNA from 1 species
UACGGGGGGUGCGAGCGUUGUCCGGAAUCACUGGGCGUAAAGGGCGCGUAGGUGGCGUGAUAAGGGUGUGGUGAAAGCCCGGGGCUCAACCCCGGGUCUGCCAUGCCGACUGUCAGGCUCGAGUACUGUAGGGGCAGGCGGAAUUCCGGGUGUAGCGGUGGAAUGCGUAGAGAUCCGGAAGAACACCGGUGGCGAAGGCGGUCUGCGGGGCAGUAGCUGACGCUGAGGCGCGACAGCGUGGGGAGCAAACAGG